rnacentral:lncRNA from 1 species
AAAAAGUUGAUUCUCUAUUUGGGUGGACAAGUUCACUUGGACAUUAACAAAGGAAAGGCCACUGGUAUUCACAGUGGCUGGAAAGCUGGAAGUCAAUUCAAGACAUCUAAUAAAUCCCUCGGGUUCAGUGUCUCGUUCGAUCCAGUUUUCUGGAGGUCUCCUGGCGAAAACAAGUGACAAAGCCACUGUUGAGUGAGAUGGGCCAGCGACCGCCCGGUAGUGUCUCUAUUGCAAGAACUCUGAAAGAGAUGAAGAGAGCCCUUAGCAAUGAUGCUGACUUCUCGUGGUUCCCGGAGCCCUGCUGAACGGAUGGAGGCUGGCCCAGAGCCUGACUUCUGCGGUUCUGAACAUGGCCCUGAGCACUGUGUCUGCUGAGGUCAUUCACCAGGUGGAGGAGUCUCUUGAUGAGGAUGAGAAGGAGAUGAUGCUCUUCUUGUGUAGAGAUGUGACUGAGAACCUGGCUCCACCCAACGUCAGGGACCUCCUGGAUUGUUUAAGUGAGAGAGGCCAGCUCUCCUUCGCUGCCUUA